rnacentral:lncRNA from 1 species
ACAAAGGCUGGGUGACCUGAGACUGCUGGGAGAGGAGGGGUGGAAAACCCCGGAAGUCCUGGCACAACAAACAGGAAUAACAUCUCUUAGGCUGCUGGAGAAACUCCUGGAGGAGGUCCAGGAGGCACUGUCUGAGCCGUGGAGCGAUUGGAGAGGCAGUCUGCAGAGCUGAGACUGGCCCCACAGCAGCCAUGGAGAACACAUUCAACACACGGAGAUAACCACACAGCACCGGAACAGGACCUGAGCCCUAGGACCAUGCCUCAGGACUACCUGGCCCGAUGACACCUUGCUGUCCCCAGUCCAUGCUGCUGCUCCAGUUUCAACUGUUCUGCCUGCGGCUAUGGAACCCUGACCUGCUCACCAGACGUGCUACCUUGUCCCAGACCUGCUGUUUUCAACUCUCUAGAGACAGCAGGAGCGGUAGAGAUACAAAUGAUCGGCUAUGAAUAGCCAACUGACAUUUACGACUGAAGUGAUGACCUGUUCCACCCUCUACAACCACUGUGAUUAUUAUUAUUUGACCCUCCUGGUCAUCUAUGAACAUUUGAACGUCUUGGCCAUGUUCUGUUAUAAUCUCCACCCGGCACAGCCAUAAGAGGACUGGCCACCCCUCAUAGCCUGGUUCCUCUCUAGGUUUCUUCCUAGGUUCCGGCCUUUCUAGGGAGUUUUUCCUAGCCACUGUGCUUCUACACCUGCAUUGCUUGCUGUUUGGUGUUUUCGGCUGGGUUUCUGUACAACACUUUGUGACAUCAGCUGACGUAAGAACGGCUUCAUAAAUACAUUUGAUUGAUUGAAAUAAAUUUGAUUGUCUAGCUGUGGGCUGAUCAAACCUGAUGAGGUAUUGUGAUGAAUCAGGGUGUAAUGGUGUCUGAAACGGCCUCGUUACCUGAUGGACAACCAUUUUAUUAUUAAAUGAUUUUAGAAUUACCUCUAUAAGAGGACCA